AUUAGCUUAGUUGGUAAAGCAGCUGACUCUUAAUCAGAAGACCCUCGGUUCGAGUCCGAG
rnacentral:tRNA from 1 species